CCAGCUGUGAUCUACAUAUCCUGUUUUAUGUGAAGCCAUUGACAGCUUUUUUUUUUCAAGUUUUCUUUUUUGUUUUUCGACUAUUUUGUUUUUCAGGUCUCAAAGGUUUGUGUUAAUCUGUCAAACGAUGUAUGGCGCUAUUUAUUAAGUCUUUACUUUUGUUGUUGAAUAAACAUAAAAGGUUCCUCUUUUAGACGACCUUGCGAUUAAUGGGGGCAGAUGUUGUAAAUCUCACCUGUUUUUACGAGCCGAUUGUUGACAAGGGUGUCAAGUGGACAGCACAACGACCCACCGCCUUUACUACCCCAGCGUACCAGUUGGAAUCGGGUGAACUCUGAGGCGUUUUAAAAAUACCAAACUUCAGAAUCCUAGUCUUUGAACUCGAAACCACUCGAUUCAAAAGUCAAGCUCUUAACCACUCGGCCACAAUGUCCCCGUUUCGUAAUUCUUUAUAUAUUUAGUGUCCGUUUGUUAUAACAAAGUUGAACUAAAAUGGGCUUUUCAUAUUUUAUUUCUAGUAGUAAUGGUCAAGGACUGGGAAAUGUAUGCUGCAAAGUUGGCACCUCACAGUAUCUGUACUUCACCAUUACAUCACGGAGAUUAGAUUUGGAGGAUUCUUACAUUUCCAGUCUGAAAUAGUAUUCUGUGAUGAGCUCCUACGGAUAACGCAAGUGUUAAGUUCUGUCCUCUAUCACAGAAAAAGGUGUGUCUUUUACAACAGGACCGAAGUUUUUUCUUGUUGAAUACAUGUCUACGUAAGUCUAGCGAAGUAUUUCUCAUGUCAAAACUCUCAAAUUUCCAUCAUUAUUUUGACAAGCUCAAUGAACCUUUAUAUUGUUUUUGUUGUCAUUCAUGGCUGGGGGGAGGGGGGUGUCAAAGGCAAAAAUUCUAGAAACAAUGUGCUCUGAGUUCACACACAAAAAUAAUUUUAGAAUACGGGUUUCUGCCCAUGCCAUCAAGUUGCGUAACUAUAAGCAUGACCAGUAGUAUACACGCAUUGAGCAGAACAUCGCAAUGUAGUCACUUGUUCAGGGUUUUAAAAUGUUCUUAAGAAAUAGGAACGAAACUUUAGCCAUUUUGUUGUUUUUGAAAGCAGUAAAUAAAUAUUCCGUUUGUUCAGUUUAAAGAAGUAGCUUAGACUGGGUACAGGUUAAAUCAUUUUUUGUUACAAAUAGAAAAACAAAACCUAAUAAAAUACUCAGAAAGACUUAAAGAUAGAGGCACAUUUCUGAUUCCAUAUGCUAGAACUAAUUCGUACAAUUGCUCCUUCUUCCCUAGUGCCUUUAUAGAAUGGAAUGUGUUGUCCGAAUCAGCCAGGAAAACCAACGACUUAGCAGAGUUUAACUCAUUGAUUAUCAUGCAUGAUUAGAUUGACACACGAAAUGCGUAGGACGUAAUGUAUAAGAAUAAGAUACCAAGAUAACAGGCGUUGUCAUAUAGCGAGCUCUGUACUUUUAGAAAUCUGGUCCAAUCUUUUUAUUAAGCAUGUUCACAUGUUCAUAAACGCAAUAAUUAACGAAUGUAUACUUUCACUCAAUCACAAGGUAAAAUUAGAUGUUAAAAUAAGAUGAUUUGAUCAAUUAAGACAAUAUUUUAUUUAGUCAUUAGGUCGACAGAUGAAAAGAAUUAAAGUAAGAAAGAAAUUCGACUUUUAAAAGGGAAAGUGCAUACACACAUGAUGCUCUACUACGAAAGAAAUGUACAGUUCACUAAUACCCCAAAUAACGCAGCAACUGGGUCAAAAGUAAGCUGGCCUGUUCUUGACUGUACCUCUCUGAAUUCAGCUGCUGGAUGACCUGCUGGACCAAAGAGGCCACGUAAUCUUUGGACGGGAAGGCGGACGCUACUGGGGUGUAAGGGUUGUAAAAAGGGUUGCCCGUGGUGUAGGGGUAGUAGGUGGAGUAUGAGUUAUAGGUGCUAGUUUCGUAAUAGUAAGGAUAGCCAGUGCUGUAUUGAUAAUAGGAUGUGGAGUCA
rnacentral:sRNA from 1 species